ACUGGCCCCAGUAUGGACCCCUGAGGGACACUUGUCACCAGCCUCCAUCUGAACAUCUAGCUGCUGACCACUACCCUCCGGAUGUGACUAUCCAACCAUUUCCUUAUCCAUCAGACAUCCAUCAAAUCCAUGUGUCUCCACUUUGGAGAGAAGGAUUUUGUGGGGGACCAUAUCAAGAAGUGCAGAGGGAUGUUGCCCAUAGCUCUUCCCUUGUCCACUGCUGUAGGCACUCCAUCACAGAAGGACUUGCCCUUGGUAAAGCCAUGCUCACUGUCUUCAAUUACCUCCCUGUCCUCCAUGUGCCUUAGCAUAGCUUCUGGAUGGAUCUGUUCCAUGAUUUUUCCAGGCUUAGAGUUCUCGGAACAACAAGACUUAAAGAACAUGAUCUAAGGUCUUUGGACCCGUGGAGAACAAUCCAAGUGACUUCAGAUAGCUUUUGAUCCAGCUACAAGGUCCUUCCACCUGUCUGUAAUGAACUGCAAAAUCAAACCAUGAUUCAAACAAAAAUUCCCAGCAAUUGCAGUGUACUUUCUUAAAGCACAGGAUGAAUGAGUUAUACAAACAGCCACAGCAUGUGAGACAUCAAGGAUGGUCAGCACUGGACAAACUAAGGUGAAGAUGAAGGGUAGAGCAAUAAAGGGCAACACAAAAAGAUCUCCAUGCUCCUCUUACCCCAAAUAUCUACUCCAAAUCACUAUUUUGGAGAGUAGUUCCUGUAUCUGACACACUGUGGCCACUAUUUUAUGUAAGACAAAAAAGUGGGUAUAUAAAAUAAAAAAAAACAAGAGCACUUUUGUUCUGUUGGAAAGAUUUUCUUAUGCCUAGGUUAAAAUAUAAUUUUGAAACCUGAAAACACAGAUCCAGAAGAAAAUUAACUCCUAAAAGUUAGGAUUACAUGCACCAUAUGAUGAAACAGUAUCUAGACAAAGAGACAUCAAAAACGUCUUCAAAUACCAAUCAUGCAGCAAGUACUUCUGUAAUAUGAAAUAUUUCAGAGGGAGGAAUAUCUAGGCAGACCAAUGAAGAGGAUCAGAUUAUACAGGCUACGAUGAAUUGAAACAAGCCUAGAAAAGCCUGGUUUGGCAGCAGGCUGAAAGAGAAUUCCUUUCCACCUCUGAUUUCUCUGAUUCUGUGAAAUCUGUUGGUUUAUGGCAGCAAAGGCACCAAAGUGCUUGA